UAACUUUUAUAUAUGAAACGAAGUAUUUUUUCACACGAUGACGAUGACACACAGGAUGAUGCCCGAUGCUAUCUCCUAUCAAAAAAGCUUGCUAUAAUGCCAAUGACGAUUUCUAUACACCUACCAAAGCGAAAAUUCGUAUUCAUGAUAGAAAAAAUCAUUGAACGAAGUUUGUCAACGCUCAAAGCCAUAGAAACUCAACGCACACCAUCGCAUCGGAGUACGUGAAUUUGUACGAAAGCAAAAUGCCCUAUACCAAAGCGGAUGUAUGCCAUUUCAUAUAAACAAAGACAACGACGAUGGAGAACGAUGCCAUCGAUAUGAUGAUGGUGAGUACAUUUGCACCAAAAUUCAAUAUGGCUAGGCAUUUGAUGUUGGGUGAAUUUUCAACGCGUCGAAUCGCAUUUUGAUAUUUUGAUAAAAUAAAAUAAUGGAUGAUUAUUUUGAUAAAUUAAUAAUUUAUUUUAAAAUAUAAGGAUUUUUUUUAAAUGAGA